UCUCGAUUAUUUUCGAGUGAGACCUGGUCAGUGAUCAAAUAUAAAUUAGAAUAAAAAAGAUUAAACACAAGCCUUAGCGUGAGGGUUAUAAUGUAGCAUAAUCAUUCGACAUUUAAUUGAUGUCUGGUAUGAAUGGUCACACGAUCUGAACAUUGUCUCAGUCUUUAACUUAUCGAAAUUAUCUUGGCGGUGAAGAUACCCCCUAAUACCUGUAAGACGAUAAGACCCCGUAAACCUUUACUAGAGGAAAAAGUUCUUUUUUCCAGAUAGUUUGAUUGGGGCGAUCAUUUUUUUUAACAAAAAUUAAAAAAGGAUUUUCUAAAUUUAUAAUCCAUCAUCUCCUUUACCAUUUUAAUGAGAUAAGUAAGUUACUUAUGACCAUUCCCGAAGACAAUCAAAGGGUAGACAUAAGAUAAAAGGUACUUCGGGGAUAACAGCGUUAUUCAUGUUACCAGAUGGUAUGGUAACAAGUGUUUGCGACCUCGAUGUUGAAUUGGGAUUACCUACCGGUGUAGAAGUUGGUAAGGGUUGGACUGUUCUUCCAUUAAAAUCCC
rnacentral:rRNA from 1 species